rnacentral:rRNA from 1 species
AAGUCUAUCUGCCCACUGAUUAAUUGAAGGGCCGCAGUAAUUUGACUGUGCAAAGGUAGCAUAAUAAUUAGUUUUUUAAUUGAAAGCUAGAAUGAAUGAUUGGACGAGAAUAAAACUGUCUUUAAUUAAUUAAUUUAAAAUUUAAUUUUUAAGUAAAAAAGCUUAAAUUUUAUUUAAAGACGAGAAGACCCUAUAGAGUUUAAUAUUUAAAUUAUUAUUAAUUUAUAGAAUUUAAUUUUAAUAUUAUUAGAAAUAUUUGAUUGGGGUAAUUUAAAAAUUUAUUUAACUUUUUAAAAUUUAAAACAAUUUUUAUUGAUAUAAAUGAUCCUAUUUUAGAUUAAUAGAUUAAAUUACCUUAGGGAUAACAGCGUAAUUUUUUUUGAGAGUUCUUAUUGAUAAAAAAGAUUGCGACCUCGAUGUUGGAUUAAAAUUAAAUUUUAAUGUAGAAGUUAAAAAUUUUAAGUCUGUUCGACUUUUAAAAUUUUACAUGAUC